rnacentral:lncRNA from 1 species
GCCAAGGUCACACAGCCACUAAGUGCAGAAGCUGGGACCGAAACAGCCCCCCACAGUGGGGCAGCCACUGAGAGACCCGUAGGGGGGACCCCAAGGUCCUGACACCCCAAGUUGCCCGUGAGUGUUGGACCUCACUACCGUGCAGAUGGGAGGGAGCCGAACUUGAGCCAGGACAUCACCCUGGACCGUCUGCCUGGGGCCUGGGGUCAUCACAGCACCUUGUUUAUGGCACUGGGGACUGAGCCCAGGGAGCUCCGUCACUGAGUCCCCGGCCUUGUAUAUAUUUUUAAGAAUUCUGAGAUAGGCUCUCGCCUGCUGGCCUGGGGCUUGGGGUCCCCUGCCUUGGUUUCCUGAGUCGCUAGGAUGACAGGCAUGUGGCACGUGCUGUGCAGGUCCCUUUAAGAGGCUAUCAGGAGUGUCAGAAGAGAGGGGACGGCAGGAGGAGAGGGAGAACAGGCCACGUGUGGGAGUGACAGCCAUAUCCAUCUUGGAAGGCCAGGACGACCCGGCCAGCUGACAUCCCAGCCCAGCGAGCCUGAUUUUGGACUUUGGGGCUUCAGAGCUGUGGAUGACAAGCACAUGCUUUUCUAUUUUUUAUUUUUUGAUGCUGCAGAUUGAACCCAGGGCAGGUGCGCCACACCCCAGCCCUUUUUAUUUUUUUUCAAUUUGAAGACAGGGCCUUGCUAAGUUGCUUAGGACCUCGCUAAGUUGCUGAGGCUGGCCUCAAACUUGCCAUCCUCCUGCCUCAGCCUCCCCAUCCCUGGGAUUACAAGGCCCGGCAAGCGCGUGCUAUUUUAAGCUACCAAGUGUGUAGCCGGGGGGCCGCAGCAGCCACAGGAAACUCAGACACGGUCAGAAAGCUCCUGGCAGCAUCUUCUCAGUGCUGCCCCCCUCCCUCCUCCCGCUAGGACAGAAGGACAGUGGAGAGGGACUUCUAGGAUCUCCC